rnacentral:rRNA from 1 species
GACGUAGGGGGCUAGCGUUGUCCGGAAUCAUUGGGCGUAAAGAGCGUGUAGGCGGCCCGGUAAGUCCGCUGUAAAAGUCAAAGGCUCAACCUUUGAAUGUCAGUGGAUACUGCCGGGCUAGAGUCCGGAAGAGGCGAGUGGAACUCCUGGUGUAGCGGUGGAAUGCGCAGAUAUCAGGAAGAACACCAACGGCGAAGGCAGCUCGCUGGGACGGUACUGACGCUGAGGCACGAAGGUCAGGGGAGCAAACGGG